rnacentral:rRNA from 1 species
ACGGGGCGCAGCAGUAGGGAAUCUUCCACAAUGGGCGAAAGCCUGAUGGAGCAACGCCGCGUGGGUGAAGAAGGUCUUCGGAUCGUAAAACCCUGUUGUUAGAGAAGAAAGUGCGUGAGAGUAACUGUUCACGUUUCGACGGUAUCUAACCAGAAAGCCACGGCUAACUACGUGCCAGCAGCCGCGGUAAUACGUAGGUGGCAAGCGUUAUCCGGAUUUAUUGGGCGUAAAGGGAACGCAGGCGGUCUUUUAAGUCUGAUGUGAAAGCCUUCGGCUUAACCGGAGUAGUGCAUUGGAAACUGGGA